AGAGCCCAAGAUCAGAAUAAAAGGGCUGAGGGACAGAGCACCUCCAUUCACUUGCCUCCUGAGGUACCUACAGAUCUUGUGCUACCUGUCUUCUUGCUCCUGAGCACUCACCAGCCGAGAUGUCCUGCCAGCAGAGCCAGCAACAGUGCCAGCCCCCUCCCAA